UGACGGUUCAAAUUUUCGUCCCCUAGGGUUUUAUUUCCCUCUUAAUAUUCGCUCUUUUUUAAGUUCUCCAACUCAAAGGCCACUCCCCAAUUUCUCAGACAACUCACACAAAUCACAAAAGAGACGCUCGCCGUUACUCAUAGAAGAACUCUGUGAAGAUACAAUAUGAAAUUUAUUCAUCGAUGCUAUAGAAAGAGAUCGAAAACGCAGAACUUAGAUCUCUCUUGGAAGAUGCAAGGUGGAAUAUGCUUCAGGAGCUUGAAAAGAAAAAACCCUCUGCUUUAAGACUGGUGAAGCAAAUGAACAAAGGAUAGACAAAAGGAUUGAAGAACUUUCUUACGAGUAUUGGUCGAUCAUUUCUAGGCCUUCAAAUGUUAUAGGAAUUCUUUAUUUUCGAACUUCUUGCUAACUUAUGUAUGCUAACUCCUAAAUUGUUAAAUAACAUUGUAUAUUUUGCUUUCUUAUAUGGAUAAUACUAGUUGGAGAUUUAAGAUUUUGGUUUUUUUGA